rnacentral:lncRNA from 12 species
CUCUAAUCAUUUUCUUUUUUCUUUAGUGGACAUAUGGGAAAACAAUCACACAGUCCCUGGUUUUUGUAAGUAAACUUUUGAGAAGCCUUUAAUUAAGCGAAUAUUCAUAGAAAUAUGAAUUAUCUCGUGUUCCUUAGUAAGUGAUAAAUGCUUUUUGUUGUUUAGGAAAAUAUCCAUUUCCUCACAAUGGUUUAUAAGAAGCUAAAAAUUACAAGUUGCCUUGAAAUUUAGGGAAUAACUGAUAUGGAUUAAAUGAUUAAAGGAUCUUAACUUUCUGACAUCCCUUUUAUACACCUUCAUUUUAAAGCACUGGAUACCCACAGAAAUGUUGUUACUUCGACUAUAACUGAAGUUUUAAUAUGAGCCUGAGAUACCAGAUAAAGAAGAUCAAGAGAUUUCUCAGGCCAAUAAUUAGCUAGAAGAUGAAAGAGAUUAUUCACUAUUCCCUCCUGUACUGGACUUUAAUUCCAAUUAUUGGAUAAUAUGCUUGAUUUCUUAAUAAGUUUAAUGUGACAAGUCGAAAAAUAUUUUCCCAGUGUAAAUUUUUAGAAAUGCUUUGAUGAGUCAUUAAUUUUAUCAAAUCUAUAUAAAAACUCAGAUAAGAAAAGAUAUUUGUAACUAAAACUAAGAAGG